GUCCGGCGGGCCACAGCUACUCAUUUCUCCCGGUUUCCGCCUCCUCCGCUCCGGGGCUCUGAAAGAGCCGCGCCCCCGGUCUUCCCCGGCGGGAUAGCGGGGAACGCGAUUCCGGAGCCCGGGAGGCGAUCGAGCCGCAGCUGCAAUCGGCUGGCGCGGGAGGUGCGGCCGGCUGCUGGCAGCCCCGGCUCCAGGCUCCUCCUCCUGUGGGUCCAGCCAUCACUCCCACCCCCCUUAGGUCUGCUCUGGAAAUCCAAGGCUCCUGCGAACAGCAUAGUUGCGGCGGCGGACGCAGCGAAGGCGGCAGGAAGAUCGCAGCCGGCCGGCCGGCCGCGCGGAGCCCCAGGGCAGCAGCGGCAGCGGCGGCGCUAGAGCAGCCCCCCGAGGUGCCGCGGAGUCCGGCGUGCCCUUGCACGGCUCGGAGAGGACGGAAACCGCGGGCUGCAGCUGGGCAAGGGCGUGGAAAGUGUGCGUGUGUGCGCGCGCCAGAGUGCGGUGGCGACAGUCUCGAAUUAGGGCAGAGGAGAGGGCAGGGGAACCCAGGUACGGCCCUCUCGGCGCCCCGGCCGGUUCCCUAGGUUCUCUCGCGGCGGCGCCAGCUCCCCAGCGCCCCUCACCAUGGACUUGUGCGGAGUUGGGACGCGCCUCAGCAGCAGCGCGCGGGUGGUUGCCCGGCCCUGGGGCUGCGCGGGCGCGCGCGAAGGGAUGGCGAGGUAGGAUGGCCGCCCAGCGCGACCCUUGUCGCCCCAACCCAGCGGCCCCUGGGCGGUGCCGCUGACUCGCCGGAGCGCACAAGGGUGUGGGUGGAGGCGGCCCCGCCGCGCCCGCGCCUUUGGGUGUCGCUUUGCCUCUUCCACCCACUCGCACCUGCCACCGCGCGGAUAUCAUGUCGAAGGCGGCCGGAAGCUCAGCGGCGGCGGCGGAAAGUUGUCCCCCGGCCUCUGCUGGCCCAUCCGCGGCCGCUGCGGUGGAGGACCUGUCCAAAGUAUCAGACGAGGAGCUGCUGCAGUGGAGCAAGGAGGAGUUGAUCCGCAGCCUGCGGCGCGCCGAAGCCGAGAAGGUGAGCGCGAUGCUGGACCACAGCAACCUCAUCCGUGAGGUCAACCGCCGCCUGCAGCUGCACCUCGGCGAGAUCCGCGGGCUCAAGGAUAUCAACCAGAAACUCCAGGAGGACAACCAGGAACUGAGAGACCUCUGCUGUUUCCUGGACGACGACCGGCAGAAAGGCAAGAGGGUGUCCCGGGAGUGGCAGAGACUGGGCCGCUUCACGGCUGGGGUAAUGCACAAAGAAGUGGCCUUAUACCUGCAGAAGCUGAAGGAGCUGGAGGUGAAGCAGGAGGAGGUGGUGAAGGAGAACAUGGAGCUCAAAGAGCUCUGCGUGCUGCUGGACGAAGAGAAAGGUGCCGGCUGCGCGGGCAGCCGCUGCUCCAUCGACAGCCAGGCCAGCCUGUGCCAGCUCACCGCCUCCACGGCGCCGUACGUGCGGGAUGUGGGCGACGGCAGCAGCACCUCCAGCACGGGUAGCACCGACAGCCCCGACCACCACAAGCACCAUGCGAGCAGUGUUAGCCCCGAGCACCUGCAGAAGCCCCGGGCAGAGGGCAGCCCGGAGCACGCCAAGCACAGGAGCACCAGCCCAGAGCAUCUACAGAAACCCAGGGCCUCCGGCACCCCAGAUCACCCCAAAGCACUCAAAGGACCCAGCCCUGAGCACCACAAACCCUUGUGCAAGGGCAGCCCUGAACAGCAAAGGCACCCCCACCCAGGGAGCAGCCCCGAAACACUGCCCAAGCACGUGCUGAGCGGGAGCCCGGAACACUUCCAGAAGCACAGGCCUGGGGGCAGCCCUGAGCACGCCAGGCACAGCGGAGGGAGCCCUGAGCAUCUUCAGAAACACGCCCUCGGUGGGAGCCUGGAGCAUCUACCCAGAGCAAGGGGCACCAGCCCCGAACACCUCAAACAGCAUUUUGGGGGAAGCCCUGAUCACAAACACGUGGGCGGAGGAGGCGGAGGCAGCGGCGGUGGCAGCAGAGAGGGUACCCUCCGAAGGCAGGCGCAAGAGGAAGUGUCACCCCAUCACCGGAACGUCUACAGUGGCAUGAACGAAUCAACCUUGUCCUAUGUUAGGCAGCUGGAGGCAAGAGUAAGACAGCUGGAGGAAGAGAAUCGCGUGCUGCCCCAGGCCACCCAGAAUAGAAGGCAACCUCCAACUAGAAACAGCUCAAAUAUGGAGAAAGGCUGGGGGCCCAGAGCCCGGCGGGUCUUGCAGUGGUGGCAAGGGUGCCGAGGAAUAGGACGAUGCCUGCCCACUCUCCCGGGUUCUUUUAGGUUGUCAUCAGGGGCUGAUGGGAAUAACAGUUCACCCAGCUCUCCAGCUAGCUUCAGUGGACACACCACACCUUCUCAGCAGCCUGAACCCGUGGUACAUUCUCUUAAGGUCUUGGAUGUUCAGGAAACUAUAGAUCGUCAGCAGGGUAAAGAGUAUGAACAUGACCUUAGUGAGACAGAAAAAGCUAUAGUCAGAGAAAUGUGCAAUAAAAAAAUACAAGCCAGCCCAAGUCUGAUACUUAGCACUCUUAAAAUGUUUGGAAACUACGAGCCAAGAGAAAAAUGUUGAUCUAAAAUAUUUUUGUCACCAUCAUAAAUUUUACAAACACUGAAAACAUAAUGAAUACUGGAGAAUAAAGACAAAUAUUUUCAAGACAUUUUCAUAGGUUGUGUGGCGGAAACUUGGAGAUGCUGCAGGUUCGUGUCCUGGAAUUAGGCAGCAUUUGUCUGGAAACCAGUACAAAGGACCAAUGUGAGAAAUACACUUUCAAACAUGAGAUCACCACUGCCAGAGAGAUACAAGAGUGGAUUCCCACAAACCUGAACUCAUGGAGUGAUUGUACAUUGCACAUAUUUUCCCUCUAAAACUUUUAGUAUAACUGAAGCUGUAUUUUAUGUCUCUCGCUUUGAUGUUCACAACCCUCAAUUUCAAACAAGGUAGCUUUGAAAAUCAUUUUGGUAGCAAUAUUUUCAUUAGAACUAAAAUGUUUUGACUCCUCAGAUCUAAGAUUAUAAUUAGGAAACAUGCAUGAUUUGAAGAGCCCAGUAGAGCCUCAGUGAUUUUGAUGGUUGGCUCAUUACAUUUAAUGGGGGGGAGUUUUCUACCAUGUUGUACUGAAGAAGGGAUGUCUUCCAGCUUCCCAAGUUUGAGAGUUGAGAACCUAUUUCGUAUAUUUUAGUCAACAAAAUACUAUUUCCUGAUUCAUAAUUUGGAUACAAGAUAAUAAGAUUAGGUUUCUGGGAUUUUGUUUUGACUUUUGAGGUGCUAAAAUACCACAGAAAUUCUCCUUACCAGCUGGUAGCAUCAUUAUGUAGAGUGUUUACCAGGGAGUACUGUUUAUUUCAAAGAUCAAAAUAUAUCUUUUAAUCUUGAUGUACUACUGUUCAUGAAGACACAUUGUGGGGACAUAUCAACCUCCAUCUUCAUUCAGUGUAUCCAUUGAUGUUAAUAUUAACUUCAAUUAAAGAACAAGCGAACAAUUUUUCUAAGUGUUUUUGGCAGUGAGAUGUCAAUUUCUACAAUUUAGUUUCUAGACAUGCUGUUAUAUUUAAUAAACUUCAUGUGAACUUUAAAAUACUGCACUGCAUUUAUGAAAAAGGCUUUGUCUACAGCAGCUAUCUAAUGUUUUAUGAAACUGACGCAUGUCAUUCAUUAUUAAGGCUAAAAGCUUUGUUCAGAUUGCUUGAGGUUUGAAAAAGAGGUGUGCUAGCUUUGCUUAGUUUCUUAUUUUUGGUAUAUAUAUAUAAUAUUAGACUGUGUGUACUGGAAAUGCUAUGAUAGGUAUUUGUGUUUAUUCAAAUGCAAUGAUAGUUUCUUGUAUGAAUGUGCAAGAGGCUUGUGACAGAAUGCUAAAUUUUUACUGUAGUUUAAAAUUAUAAAAGUAGGAAUGCAACAAUUUCCAGUUUUCUUCUAAAUUACUCAGAUUUGAUUCAUUGCAGUUACUCUGUUGUUUUUAAAUGGCUCAUUACACAAUGUAUUAAUUGCCAUUUGUGAAGGAAUUUUAUUACACUUCUUAAAAGGUUACUGUGAUGAAAAGUCAGCCCUCUGCUUUCUAAAAAUAUUUAUGAGUUAAUUUACUAAAGAAUAAUCUCUCUAAUUAUCAUAAUUGGGUUACCAUUUAAGUCUUUAUUUUAAAAUGUUAUAUUUUUAAAACACUACUACUCUGUAAAAGAAUAUUGCUUGCUGUAUUUAUACCUUCUCUUUUAGAAAAGCUUUCAUCCUUAAAUUGUUGUAUUCCUACACUCUGAAGACAUUUAAAGUAAGUUUUUGUGCCUGCAGUAGAGCCUGCAGCAGCUAAUACAAGAAAUACUGGUCUUUUGACAAAAUACUUGUGUAAAUUUUGAUACUGUAUUAAAACUAUUUUUUUAAAGUUCUGCAUAAAAUUAAGUAUCAAGUAUAUGUGUUCAUCUUAGCAAUGGUAAUAAAUUAUUUAAUCUCACA